UGUUCAUAUUCGUGUAAAUAACAAAAUACACCUUUUAAAUCAUGACUUCUAAGAUCCUCUUUUGUGAAGUUUUAUAAGGUUACCUUUCAGUAUUGAAUAACUCCAGAAAUUUUCCAAUUACCAAAAGCAGUUAGGUAAUGUUGAACCGGUAUGGCCCAGCCCAUACAAGUUAUCUCUUAGGGCCCAGGCCCAUGUAGUGGGACUGACCUAAAAAGGAUGCUCCCAGCCAUCCCGUUCCUAAGCCAGCCGCCACACAAAAAACACAGCUGCUGGAGGUACUCCUCUCUCCCUCCCGUACUCCUCUCUCCCUCCCGUUUCUACAUGGUAUCAGAGGCCAGGUCCGGCAAGGCCUGACGGACGGCGGCGCCGGCCGGCGUGGCUGCGGGGUCCGGUGGGGAUCGACGGCGGCCCUGCGCGCUGGAGAGGAGGCGGCUGCGCGCGGGCUGUGUGCGCGCGCGAGGAGGAGAAGCGGCUGCGCGGGCGACAGGGCGACGGCUGGUGCUGGUUCCUUCCUGCCCCGGCUCUCUUAUCUCUCUCUGUUCUGCUGUGUUUCUGGAGGUGGAAGGGAGAAGGAGAGAGGAGGAAGCGAAAGAAGGGCAGCUGCUGGAGUCUGGAGGUUGCGGCUGCUGCUGUUUGCCCGAGAAGGAGGUUGCAGCUGGUGGUGGUGGUGUGCACUACAGGGGAGACCGGGAGCUGGGUGCUGCUGCUAGAGGAGAAGGUGCUGGUGGUGGUCUGUUCCUGGAGCUGCUGCUGUGCUGUUAGUGGAGCUAUUGUUGUGCUGUUCCUGCUGCUGUGCAUCUGAGUUGCUGUUUUUGCUGCUGUGUGUUGGUUCUGCUGUGGAGAAGAAGUGAGGCUGUGGUGCUGCUGGAACACCAAAGAUGGCUGAACCAAAUGCUCUCGCUGCUGCUUUCGAGAAGCUCGCUAAGAUCCUCGCGGAGUCCAACUCCAACUCUGGGGCCAUCGUUCCUCGACAGGAAGUGGCUCAGAAGCUCGAAAUGUCACCCCUGGACAUGAAGCUAGAGGGGGCCACAAAUUAUUUGAGCUGGUCCAGAAGGGCAUUGCUGGCUGUGGAACAGAAGGAACUUGAUGGGCACUUAUUGGGUGCGGUUGAUGAACCCGGAGACAAGACUACCGCGGAGGGAAAGCGGUGGAAGGUCAUAAACUCUGUGCUUGUUGGCUGGUUGUUGAACUCAGUGGUGCCCUCCAUUGGUCGCUCUGUGGAGGGACUAUCCAUGUCCGCCGAGUUAUGGAAGACUCUAUCCACCCAAUACUCAGGCAAGGGUAAAUUUCAUGCUAAUUGCUCAGAUUGAGGGGAAGAUCAGUCGGCUGCGCCAAGGCGAUGACAUGUCAGUGAUGGCAUAUGUAGCAGAGCUGCAGGCUUUGCGGGCAGAGCAGGAUAACUGUGAUCCUCUGGAACUCUAUGAUGCGGCGUGCAUCGAGUCAGGGCGCAAGUGGAUUGCACGCAGGCGUGUGCUGAAACUGUUGGAAGGCCUCAGAGGUUGCUUUCAUGGCAGGGGGCUUCCCUAUUGCGCCAACCUCUCUUGCCAACUAUUGAGGACACUAUUGCAGCAAUGUCUCAAGAGGAGGUGAGGCUAUCUCUUGAGCAUGCAAACGUGAAGUUUGUGCCGGCUUCGACAUUUGCAGUCACUGAGCGCAUGGAGUGGGGAGAUCCCAACACAUGUCAUAUUUGUGGGGAGGUAGGUCAUUGGAAGAGGGAAUGUCCAACUCGUGGUAGAGGCAGGGGAUACAACAGAGGGGGCACUGGCAGAGGCAGGUAUGCUCGAGGCAGAGGUGGAUACCCAUGGAACUCAGGGGGUCAACUUUCUAGGGGCAGAGGUGGCUACUCAGGAAACUCAGGGGGCAGGGCGCAUAUGGUAGUUGAAGAGGACACUGGGACGUCACAUGGCAAGGGAGUUGAUGAGGCUGCCUAUGGAGACUUUGCUCACUUGGCCUCCACUGAUGAAGGUAAUUCGAUGAAGGCAUUUCUUACUCCUAAUGAGAGUGCUUCAUAGUGGGUCUUAGACUCUGGAGCAUCUAAGCAUGUUGCGGGUAAUUUCUGUGUGUUUGAGUCUUACCAUAAGCAUGCUCCUACUCACAAGGGCACUAUACAAACUGCCGAUGGUACCAAUCAGCCUGUCGUAGGGGUUGGCACAGUCAAAUGCACUUCAGCCAUCUCCUUAUCGUCAGUUUUGCAUGUGCCAGCUUUUCCUGUCAAUUUGGUCUCUUUCAGUGCUCUCAUUGAUCAAAUAGACUGUCGUGUGAUCCUUGACAAGUUCGGUUGCUUGAUUCAGGAGCGACAGACGAGCCAGACGGUUGGGAUUGGCACCAGGCGUAGGGGGCUCUGGUACAUGGACCAGGAGGUGCAACCGGACUUGAUGUGUGCUGCGACCAUGGAGGACAAGGAGAAGCAGGCGAUGAUCCAUCAUUGUAGAAUGGGUCAUGUAUCUUUUGAUAAGAUGAGUAGAAUCUUUCCGGAUGUUAUGUGUGGAAUAGGCAAGGGCAAGUUGACAUGUGAUGCUUGCGAAUAUGCAAAACACACACGAGCCUCAUAUGUGAGUAAGGGGCUUAGGAGCAUAUCUCCUUUUAUGCUCAUUCAUUCAGAUGUAUGGACUAGCCCAGUAGUGUCAAUGAAUGGAAAGAAGUAUUUUGUUACCUUCAUUGACUGCUAUUCUCGUAUGACUUGGAUUUACUUGAUGCGUCACAAGGAUGAGGUGUUUAGCUGUUUUCAGAACUUCCAUGCUCUUGUAAAGAACCAGUUUCAGGUGCAGGUCAACGUGCUCAGGACUGACAAUGGUACAGAGUAUGUGAACAAUAUUUUUGGGGAUUUCAUGGCUAACCAAGGAAUUCUUCAUCAAACUUCAUGUCCGGACACCCCACCUCAGAAUGGAGUGGCCGGAAGGAAGAAUCGUCAUAUUCUUGAGGUUGCUCGGUCAUUAAUGUUUACCAUGAAUGUGCCUAAGUUCUUAUGGGAUGAAGCAGUUAUGACAACCACGUACCUGAUCAACCGGACACCUUCCAGGAUAUUAGGUAUGAAAUCUCCGUCAGAGUUGCUCAUUGGAGAUAAUAAGUUUGUUGUUUCCCCAAAGUUGUUUGGCAGUACUUGCUUUGUUUGUGAUCACCGACCAUCUGUUGGAAAGCUUGAUCCUCGGGCAGUGAAGUGUGUCGUCCUGGGAUACUCUUCUAGCCAGCAGGGGUAUAAAUGUUGGUCUCCCUCUGAAAAACGCAGGUUCGUGAGUAUGGAUGUUACCUUCAGGGAGUCCGAGCCAUUCUUUGGUACGCCGACUGAUCUCAGUCUGCUAUUUGCAGAGCUUGACCACCUACAUCAUGUGCACGAUGGUCAAGAGGGGGAGAAGGAUGUGUCUCAUACUCAGGGUGAUUCUGUGGGCAAUAACACUGCUAAUGAUGUGCAACUUCAGGUCCAACCAAUAGUGGGAACAAUUCCGGUUAGUACUCUCACUGAUGAUGAUGUGCAGGUUCCUGUUGAGCCAACCAUCGAUACACUUAAGAUUGGUGCUCUUCGGGUUCCUGUUCGGGAUCGAUGGCAGACGAACACCCUAGUGUACUCUCGACGGCAACCACACGUGCAAGGGGAGCAGCAAGGCAGUGAGGCAAGAGUGCAGGGGGAGCAACAAGGAAAUGAGGCAAGAGUGCAAGGGGAGCAGCAAGGCAAUGAGGCAAGAGUGCAGGGGGAGCAGCAAGAUAGUGAGACGAGCUCAUCUGACACAGUGGAGUUGCCCAUUGCAUUGCGAAAGGCUACACGUGAAGCAGCAAGAAAGGGUGAAGUAGCAAGAAAGGCUCUAUCGAAGGAUGAUGCUUGUGAUGAUCUUGAUAUUGGCAAUUUUGUGUCUUAUAAGGCUUUGUCACCCACAUAUAAGGCGUUUGUUGCCUCCCUUCAAACUGUGUCAAUUCCAAAUGAUUGGAAGGCUGCAAAGCAAGAUCCGAGGUGGCGUGAAGCGAUGAUGGAAGAGUUGGAAGCACUAAGGAAAAACAAGACAUGGGUGCUAACCACAUUGCCGGCAGAAAAGAAAGCAGUGAGUUGUAAGUGGAUCUAUACAGUGAAGCAGAAUCCUGAAGGGAAGGUGGAACGGUAUAAGGCCAGAUUGGUCGCCAGAGGAUAUAGUCAAACUUAUGGAAUUGACUAUGAUGAGACGUUUGCUCCCGUGGCAAAGAUGAACACAGUAAGGAUAUUGGUCUCCUGUGCUGCAAACUUUGGGUGGAAGUUGCAUCAAUUAGAUGUCAAGAAUGCCUUCUUGCAUGGUGAGUUGCAAGAAGAAGUGUACAUGGAAAUACCACCAGGUUUUGGUACUUCAGAGACUACGGGGAAGGUAUGCAGGCGGAAGAAAUCCUUGUAUGGACUGAAGCAAUCACCAAGGGCCUGGUUUGAUAGGUUCAGACGUGCUGUCCGUGGUAUGGGGUAUGGUCAGUGUAACGAUGACCACACGAUGUUCUACAAGCACUCUGAUCGGAAGAUCAUCAUUCUUGUUGUUUAUGUGGAUGACAUUAUCAUCACUGGAGAUGAUGAGGAGGAAAUAGAGAGAUUGAAGGGUUGUUUGAGCAAGGAGUUUGAGGUAAAGGAUUUGGGUAACCUAAAAUACUUUCUUGGCACUGAAGUGGCUCGGACAGAGAAGGGAAUCUCUUUGUGCCAACGAAAAUACACCUUGGAUCUCUUGAGUGACGUGGGCAUGAUGGGAUGUCGUACUGCCCCUACUCCGAUUGAACAAAAUCACCAAGUGACAGCACAAUCAGGAGAGCUAGUGAAUAAGGAAGAGUAUCAGAAAUUUGUUGGAAGGUUGUUGUACUUGUGUCAUACUAGGCUAUGCUAAGGGGGUGGUGAGCAGAUACAUGCAUGAACCAAGGAGUGGGCAUCUUGAUAUUGUGCACAGAAUCCUGAGAUACUUGAAGGGGACUCCGGGUAAAGGGUUGUGGUUUGGGAAGAGUGGACAUCUUGAGGUGGAUGGCUAUAGUGACUCUGACUGGGCCAGUUAUUAAGAUGAUAGAAGAUCAACUUCUGGUUACUGCGUGUUUGUGGGAGGAAAUUUGGUAUCAUGGAGAAGCAAGAAACAGCCGGUUGUGUCUAGAUCAACAGCAGAAGCUGAGUAUAGAGCAUUAUCUCAAGGGUUGUGUGAGAUGCUCUGGGUGAAGUACCUACUGAGCGAGUCGAAACUUCUGAGGAAGGGGUCCUUGAAGGUGUGGUGUGACAAUCAGUCAGCUAUAGCCAUCGCUAAUAACCCAGUUCAACAUGAUAGGACAAAGCAUGUGGAAAUUGAUCGGUUCUUCAUUAAGGAGAAGCUUGAUGCCGGGGUCAUCAGCCUUACUCAUGUCAGUUCUGGGCAGCAGUUUGCAGAUUGUUUGACAAAGGGUCUGGGAACAAAGGAUUGUAACUUGGCAUGUCACAAGAUGGGAAUGAUAGAUAUCUACCACCCAUCUUGAGGGGGAGUGUUGAACCGGUAUGGCCCACGCCCAUACAAGUUACCUCUUAGGGCCCAGGCCCAUGUAGUGGGACUGACCUAAAAAGGAUGCUCCCAGCCAUCCCGUUCCUAAGCCAGCCGCCACACAAAAAACACAGCUGCUGGAGGUACUCCUCUCUCCCUCCCGUAC
rnacentral:lncRNA from 1 species